CACACGUGAAGCUUGGGAUUGUUCGGGAGAAAUCCGAAUGGUUCCGCCCGGUGGCGUCUCUGCAAAGAGCGCUGUUUGCUUCAUGGGGGUUAAACCGGAAAAGGAGAAAAGGC
rnacentral:sRNA from 1 species